UACGUAGGGUGCGAGCGUUAAUCGGAAUUACUGGGCGUAAAGCGUGCGCAGGCGGUUCGUUGUGUCGGCGGUGAAAGCCCCGGGCUCAACCUGGGAAUGGCCGUUGAAACUGGCGAACUGGAGUGUGGCAGAGGGGGGUGGAAUUCCGCGUGUAGCAGUGAAAUGCGUAGAGAUGUGGAGGAACACCGAUGGCGAAGGCAGCCCCCUGGGCUGAGAUUGACGCUCAGGCACGAAAGCGUGGGGAGCAAACAGG
rnacentral:rRNA from 1 species